rnacentral:rRNA from 1 species
GUCCCGACAACGAGCGCCAACCCCUGCAUUCAGUUGCCAACGGGUAAGGCCGGGCACUCUGGAGUGGACUGCCGGCGACAAGCCGGAGGAAGGGUGGGGAUGACGUCAAGUCAUCAUGGCCCUUAUGUCCAGGGCGACACACGUGCUACAAUGGCCGGCACAGCGGGAAGCGAGGGGGCGACCUUGAGCGGAUCCCUCAAAGCCGGUCUCAGUUCGGAUUGCAGUCUGCAACUCGACUGCAUGAAGUUGGAAUCGCUAGUAAUCGUGGAUCAGCCAAGCCGCGGUGAAUACGUUCCCGGCCUU